GAGCUGGCGGGUCAUCCCCACGGUGACCGUACGUACAUGUCCCAACCAGAAGCCUUGGAUUACAGGCAAAAUCCCCAUUGAGCUAAAAGCUAGAGCUGCUAUUUUCAAGGAGCGGGACACUAAUCCGGAUGCCUAUAAGAAAUCCCUCUAUGCCCUCAGACGAUCCACCAAACAAGCAAAGAGUCAAUACAGGAUUAAGAUUGAAUCCUACUACACCGGCUCUGACCCUCGUCGGAUAUGGCAGGGCUUGGAAACUAUUACGGACUACAAAUUGAAGCCCAGACGCGAGCUGCCCAGUAACGCAAGUCCACCAGAAAAGCUAAAUGCCUUUAUGCUCGCUUCGAGGCAAGCAACACUGAAGCAUGCACGAGAGCACCAGCUGUUCUAGAUGACUGUGAGAUAAUGCUCUCGGUAGCCAAUGUGAGCAAGACCAUUAAACACGUCAACAUUCACAAAGCCAUGGGGCCAGAUGGAUUACCAGGACGGGUACUCAAGGCAUGCACAGACCAACUGGCAAGUGUCUUCACUGACAUUUUCAACCUCUCCCUGACUGAGUCUGUAAUACCUACAUGUUUCAAGCAGACCACCAUAGUCCCUGUGCUCAACGAAGCGAAGGUAACCUGCCUAAAUGAUUACCGCCUGUAGCACUCAAGACGGUAGCCACGAAGUGCUUUGAAAGGCUGGUCGUGGCUCACAUCAACAGCAUACUCCCGGAUACCCUAGAUACACUCCAAUUCACAUACCGCCCCAACAGAUCCACAGAUGACGCAAUCUCAAUCCCACUCCACACUGCCGUUUCCCACCUGGACAAAAGGAACACCUAUGUGAGAAUGCUGUUCAUUGACUACAGCUCAGCGUUCAACACCAUAGUGCUACGGCGGUCAUCACUAAGCUAAGGACCCUGGGACUAAACACCUCCCUCUGCAACUGGAUUUUGGACUUCCUGACGGGUCGCGCCUCAGGUGGUAAGAGUAGGCAACAACUUGUCUGCCACGCUGAUCCUCAACACUGGGGCCCCUCAGGGGUGUGUACUUAGUUCCCCCCAUUAUCCCUGUUCACUCAUGACUGCAUGGCCAGGCACAACUCCAACACCAUCAUUCAGUUUGCCUAUGACAACAGUGGUAGGCCUGAUCACCAACAAUGACGAGACAGCAUAUAGGGAGGAGGUCAGAGACCUGACCGUGUGGUGCCAGGACAACAACCUCCCCCUCAACAUGAUCAAGACUAAGGAAAUGAUUGUGGACUACAGGAAAAGGAGGACCAAGCACUCCCCCAUUCUCAUCGAUGGGGCUGUAGUGGAGCAGGUUGAGAGCUUCAAGUUCCUUGGUGUUCACAAACCAACAAUCUAACAUGGUCCAAGCACACCAAGACAGUCGUGAAAAGGGCACGACAAAACCUAUUCCCCCUCAGGAAACAAAAGAUUUGUCAUGGGUCCUCAGAUCCUCAAAAGGUUCUACAGCUGCACCGUUGAGAGCAUCCUGACUGGUAUGGCAACUGCUCGGCCUCCGACCACAAGGCACUACAGAGGGUAGUGCGUACGGCCCAGUACAUCACUGGGGCGAAGCUUCCUGCCAUCCAGGACCUCCAUACCAGGCAGUGUCAGAGGAAAGUCCUAAAAAUUGUCAGACUCCAGCCACCCUAGUCAUAGACUGUUCUCUCUGCUACUACACGGCAAGCGGUACUGGAGUGCCAAGUCUAGGUCCAAGAGGCUUCUAAACAGCUUCUACCCCCAAGCAAUGAGACUACUGAACAUCUAAUCAAAUGGCUACCCAGACUACUUGCAUUGCUCCCCCCAUUUACACUGCUGCUACUCUGUUAUCUAUGCAUAAGUCACUUUAAUAACUCAUGUAUAUAUUACCUCGACUAACCGGUGCCUCUGCACAUUGACUCUGUACCCCCUGUAUAUAUCCUCGCUAAUGCUAUUUUACUGCGCUCUUUAAUUUGUUACUUUAUUUAAAGGAUUUUUCUUAACUGCAUUUUUCGGGGCUUAUAAGGAAGCAUUUCACUGUAAGGUCUUCACAUGUGACAAAUACAAUUUUAUUUGAAUUGAAAUGUAUUCCAGGUGACUACCUCAUGAAGCUGGUUGAGAGAAUGCCAAGUGUGUGCAAAGCUGUCAAGGCAAAGGGUGGCUAUUUCGAGGAAUCUCACAAAAUAUUUAGAGAGGGAGCGGGAGAGAGAGUGUACAGGGGGAGUAACUGCAGGUCAAGAAGACACCGGAUGAACACCAGAGGGCGUAGCAGGGAGCAGAUGUGACACAUCCAAGGGGGAGGUGUGAAAGUCACAUAAAUCAAAGCUCUGUGGGGGACAGGGAGUCCCGUGGGGACACAUACCGGCUGUAGCCCCACCUGUGGAGCCCAUGAGUGGCCCUGUGACAGCUCAUCAACAGCCCACGUCUGUGUACCAAAUGGCACCCUAUUCCAAUAUAGUGGACUACCUUUGACCAGGGCCCACUCUGGUGCACUAUAUAUGGAAUAGCGUGCCAUUUGGGAUGCACUCCUGCCCUACAGAGCUGCUGAGAGGCCAGAAACAGUGGGACUGAUACUUAAGGAUACUGAACAAUGGCUGCAACUGAGGAGAGUUGGAGUGGGGGGGGUAAAGUAUAACAGGAGUAAUCUCACAUGCUGUGGCCCAGUAUAAAAGCCUACAUGUGAAGGUCACAGAUGAUCUUAUGUAACUACUGAAGUGGGGCGAUUGAAAGACUGGAAAAUUACAAGUGGCUGUGUGUUAUGUCAUCUGGCCUUUCCCACCGUCAUCCGCCUUGCUGCCACCGUCACCCAGCCGGAUGUGUGUGUGUAUGAGAAAUGCCAGGUGUGUGUCUGUGUGUUUGACCCGUAUACGGUGCGUAUUAUUCUUUGGAAAUGGCGUGUGUGCAUAAUCACUGUGCAUUGAUGCCUGUCACAGUAGCUGUUACUCACCCUGACCCCUCUAUGCGUUUAUAGCUGUAUAUACUCACCUUCUCUAUAAUCGAUGGUGACCUUUUCCUGGAAGCAACUUGACGCCAUUCAUUGGUCCAUUACAGGAAGUCAUUAAUCACUCUAGCAGCCCCAGUAUUAAUCACUCUAGCAGUCCUAGUAGUCUACAGGUAGGAGUGACGGUAAAGAGGUUUUAAGGGUUAAACGUCACCGUCUCUUCAUUAACAUGGGGAGGCCAGUUGUGAUGUCAGUAAGAGCUGAGUCACUCUCACACACACUCUGAGGGUCCACACACACACACACAUACUGUAUAAAUCCUUUUAUUAUACCAUAAUGACCUCAAUUAUCCAGCAACACCCUUUCAGCUCGAGGGCAAAAACACAUACGCUUGCUCUAUCCCCCUGUCUCUCUCGUUCUCUCAUUCUCUCUCUCUCUCAUUCUCUCUCUCUCUCUCUCUCUCUCUCUCUCUCUCUCUCUCUCUCUCUCUCUCUCUCUCUCUCUCUCUCUCUCUCUCUGCGUGUGUAUGCCGCUUGCUUUCUCUACCUUUUUGAGUUCCCUUGACAUUUGUUAUUUUAAUUUAUCUCGCUCCGUCUACCUCACUGUUCUUUUCUCUCUCCUCUCUCUUCCUCUAAAGAACAGCGACAUCUCAGAGCUCACACCAGAGCCCUAGGAAGAUACCUGGAUUGGUACUAUGAGAGUCACACCAGAGUCCUCUACAUACCUGGAUUGGUACUAUGUAUAAGACCACGAAGCAUCCCAGUAUAGUAGCUGGGACAUGGGCCUGGUUAACAUCUGGUCUGCUGUGCUCUGUCUUACCCACUCUUCCACCACUACCUCUGGCAGGCGGGCAGGCGAGGGGGUUGGUUUUACCCAGCACAGAUAUCAGGUGUCAGCCAGGCUGACCUGCAGCAGCAGCCACAGCAACAACCAGGGCCUCUCACCAUGUCAGUGGAGAGAGAUGGAGACGUAGGGGGUCACACAGUGAGGGAGCCCUGCUGGGAUGUCUCCCACCGAGGGAGUGGAGAGACGUCAUUCAAGCUGAGCGCCAUAAUGAGAUUACAGAACCCGGUGGGCACAGCCCGGUGAUGUGGGGAAAGGGAAGAGAGAUGGGUGAGAGAGAAAGAGGAGAAAGAGGAAAAAGAUAGGAAAGAGGGGGAGGUUGAGAGAGAAGGUCGUAAAGAAACAGAGGAGGGGGGUUGAGGAUAAUGUCAUGUCACUGUCAAGGAAUGAAGAAUGAUAUGUGGGGUGAACAGCAUAAAGGGAGGAGAGGAUGAAGUGGAAUUGGAAGUGGGGGAUGAGAGAGAGUGAGAGCGAGAGAUAGAGGGGAAGUGAGGAGAGAUAUACAGAACAUUCAUGAGGAGAUUAUGAUGUGUUGUGUGGCCCACCAAGCCUGUGCUUUGGCAACAGUGACCUGCUUGCUUUGACGCACAGCUCCCAGACCCAGGAUUUUUCCCAAAUGGAACCCUAUUUCCUCUAUAGUGUGCUACUUUUGACCAGAGUUUUGACCGGGGCACAUGGGGCUCUGGUCAAACGUAGUGCUCUACUGUAUGUAGGGAAUAGGGUGCCAUUUGGGAUGAAGACCCUGUCUGCCCUGGAUAACUAGAGGAAUGAGAUCCACAGGGUCAAACACGAACACAUCAAGAGAGCAACUUCAUGGAAAACAGAGAAGUGCUACUGAUGUUGUGUGACACCAUAAACAGAGAGGAGCAAAGGUUCAGGCUAUGGCCAAGGUUGGCUGGUCUAGAUCUAGAGAGGAUCCACUGGUAACAAACUGGUUAAAUCAACAUCGUUUCAACUUCAUUUGUCAACGUAUUGUGACCUGUUGUCUACGUGGAAAAUACAUUGGAUUUGAAAAAAAGUCGUCGGCGUAAACUGUUGUUUUGAAGGUGAGAUUUCAACCACAGGAUUAUGUGAUCAUGGUAACCAAUAUUCAACAUAGACAAACCUUGUAUAAAAUAUGUUUAAUUUUCACCUUUGAAACAACGUCAUCUUCGAUGUAAUAUCCACUAUAAGAUAGAAAGCAGUAGUCUGGGCAGCACCUCCUGCUGGAGAGCACCUUAGAGGCUGCUGUCCUAUGAACAUGGACUUGAAAUCACUCGCCACUUUAACCAAGGAACACUAGUCAUUUAAAUAAUGUUUACAUAUUUUGCAUUACUCAUCUUAUAUGUAUAUACUGUAUUCUAUACUUUUCUACUGUACCAUAGUCUAUGCCGCUCUGACAUUGCUUGUCCAAAUAUUUAUACAUUCUUAAUUCCAUUUUUACUUUAGAUUGGUGUGUAUUGUUGUGAAAUUGUUAGAUAUUACUGCACUGUUGGAGCUCGAAACGCAAGCAUUUCGCUACGUCCGCAAUAACAUCUGCAUGUGACCAAUAACAUUGGAUUUGAUUUGAUCUACAGCUAUCUCGUAGUUCUCCUAUCCAGACUUUUUUAACCAAGCCCAACACUGCAUAGCUUUAAUAGUUGUCACUGUCUAUUACCAAUGUGCACUAGUAAUAACUAUGUCAGAUUCACUUCUCCAUUCAACCAAAAAUAAACGUUAAAGAAUAGAGAUGAAGUCAAAUCAAACUGUAUUUCGAUUUUUGGCUGAAAUGAAAACGGGAAUCCAACAUAUCAAUUGUUAAUUAAUUUGUAGUCAAGCUGGAAUUAAAGCCAAGCUCAGUGGCACCGAUGGGGCUAUCCAUGCAGAAGAUACAUCUCCUUCUUAAGUUGAUAUUGGGUUGCGUUGUCUACCGAACACAAUUCAAUAUGACUUUUGUGUGACAGCAAAUAGCCUAAUGUGAAGGCUAUCUUACCAACUAAUGUAACACUAUUUCUUCAACCUUAAAAUGAGUGGCCACAUUUUGAGGUUACUGUAACAAUAAAUGUCUUCUUAUGUAAUCAUAGAAAGCGUGUAUGUUCAGGUUUGCAGGUCUGUGGAAACCUUCCCAAUUGCUGUAAUAAUCUGCAUAGACUCUCAAACAGCAUUGAUCCCUUGCACUAUGUACUUUAAUGUGAUCUCAACUAACUGCAGUCCAGGUCAUUUGGUCAUGCUGUUAGAUCAAACACAGUGAUAACCCAUUCACUUGUUGUAGAAAUAAACAAAACAUCUAACAUUUUAUUCCCAUUUGAACUUGAAUGUGCUUUUAAACGGUUGAAAGCGCAGUGAUAAGACAUACAACUGAACCAAAUAUCAGACAUUGAUCUUUUCCUUGGAAUUUGGUUGUAAUUUUAGAUCAGGGGUUCUCAAACCUUUUGGGGCCGGGGACCCCUUCUGUGUUAGCAAAUUCAUCACAGACCCGUUCGUAAUCAGAACACAACUCGAGUGCGUUAACAACAGCCUACAAAAGGUUUUACUAUGACGUCUGCAUUACAUGGCAGGAUGAACCAAGUCUCGGGCCCAGGGAAAGAACAUUUAGAAGGCCUGCUUCUUGGCAUCAGAGGGAACGUUCAGAAGUUUUCAAUCUAAUUUCCUGUAAUUCUACACAUUUUGUCAUGGGACAGAUAUUUGUUUUACUGUUGCAGCUCUAAAGCUAAUAUCCUGCAAUUCAACACAGAGAGACAACUUUGCAGUUUUAAAUUACAGUGCAUUUAUGUCAAAUAAAAACAAUUUGGGGGGGGGGUAGUACUGAAUAGAAAAAUGUACAAUUGGUGGAGUACUGUGGAUACCAAUAACACUGUGUCUCCCAAGCCUAUGUUGCCCAGUAUUAAGAACAUACAUUGUAAGCAUUUCACUGUUAGUCUACACCUGUUGUUUACGAAGCACGUGACAAAUAAAAUUGGAUUUGAUUUGA